UACAGAGGGGGCAAGCGUUGUUCGGAAUUACUGGGCGUAAAGGGCGCGUAGGCGGCCUUCUAAGUCGAACGUGAAAUCCCCGGGCUCAACCCGGGAACUGCGUCCGAUACUGGAAGGCUUGAAUCCGGGAGAGGGAUGCGGAAUUCCAGGUGUAGCGGUGAAAUGCGUAGAUAUGCGGAGGAACACCGGUGGCGAAGGCGGCUUCCUGGACCGACACUGACGCUGAGGCGCGAAAGCUAGGGGAGCAAACGGG
rnacentral:rRNA from 1 species